rnacentral:snoRNA from 1 species
UUAACACUUUUGCAGGUCCUCUCCUAGACAGCGGGGCCAGGGUUUGGUAGCUGGUGCUGAGAGAAAACCCUUGAUUGCAUCCUUGCCCUGGAACUGUACCAGUGGCAGUUGUCACUCAGUGGAACAGGA